UACGAAGGGGGGCUAGCGUUGCUCGGAAUCACUGGGCGUAAAGGGUGCGUAGGCGGGUCUUUAAGUCAGGGGGUGAAAUCCUGGAGCUCAACUCCAGAACUGCCUUUGAUACUGAGGAUCUUGAGUUCGGGAGAGGUGAGUGGAACUGCGAGUGUAGAGGUGAAAUUCGUAGAUAUUCGCAAGAACACCAGUGGCGAAGGCGGCUCACUGGCCCGAUACUGACGCUGAGGCACGAAAGCGUGGGGAGCAAACAGGG
rnacentral:rRNA from 1 species